rnacentral:rRNA from 1 species
UACGGAGGAUGCGAGCGUCGUCCGGAUUUAUUGGGUUUAAAGGGUGCGUAGGCGGAUCGUUAAGUCAGUGGUCAAAUUGAGGGGCUCAACCCCUUCCCGCCAUUGAAACUGGCGCUCUUGAGUGGAAGAGAAGUAUGCGGAAUGCGUGGUGUAGCGGUGAAAUGCAUAGAUAUCACGCAGAACCCCGAUUGCGAAGGCAGCAUGCCGGCUUCCGACUGACGCUGAAGCACGAAAGCGUGGGGAUCGAACAGG